AGCUCCAUGGCGCAGAGGAAGCGCGCCGGGCUCAUAACCCGGAGGUCCUCCGAUCGAAACGGAGUGGAGCUA
rnacentral:tRNA from 1 species